AUUGAACGCUGGCGGAAUGCUUUACACAUGCAAGUCGAACGGCAGCACGGACUUCGGUCUGGUGGCGAGUGGCGAACGGGUGAGUAAUGUAUCGGAACGUGCCCAGUCGUGGGGGAUAACGUAGUGAAAAUUACGCUAAUACCGCAUACGAUCUAUGGAUGAAAGCGGGGGAUCGCAAGACCUCGCGCGAUUGGAGCGGCCGAUAUCAGAUUAGGUAGUUGGUGGGGUAAAGGACCACCAAGCCAACGAUCUGUAGCUGGUCUGAGAGGACGACCAGCCAAACUGGAACUGAGACACGGUCCAGACUCCUACGGGAGGCAGCAGUGGGGAAUUUUGGACAAUGGGCGAAAGCCUGAUUCAGCCAUUCCGCGUGCAGGAUGAAGGCCCUCGGGUUGUAAACUGCUUUUGUACAGAACGAAAAGGUUUCUACUAAUACUAGGAGCUCAUGACGGUACUGUAAGAAUAAGCACCGGCUAACUACGUGCCAGCAGCCGCCGUAA
rnacentral:rRNA from 1 species